UACGUAGGUGGCAAGCGUUGUCCGGAUUUAUUGGGUUUAAAGGGUGCGUAGGCGGAUGCUUAAGUCAGAGGUGAAAGACGGCCGCUCAACGGUCGCAGUGCCUUUGAUACUGGGUAUCUUGAGUGCAGACGAGGUCUGUGGAAUGGAUGGUGUAGCGGUGAAAUGCUUAGAUAUCGUCAAGAACACCUAUAGCGAAGGCAGCUAACUAAACUUUAACUGACGCUGAGGCACGAAAGCGUGGGGAGCAAACAGG
rnacentral:rRNA from 1 species